rnacentral:rRNA from 1 species
ACUGCUCAGUAACACGUGGACAACCUGCCCAAAGGUCCGGGAUAACCCCGGGAAACUGGGGAUAAUACCGGAUAAAUCACAGGUACUGGAAGGUCUUGUGGUUGAAACUUCCGGGGCCUUUGGAUGGGUCUGCGGCGGAUUAGGUUGUUGCCGGUGUAACGUACCGUCAAGCCUGUAAUCCGUACGGGUUGUGGGAGCAAGAGCCCGGAGAUGGAUUCUGAGACACGAAUCCAGGCCCUACGGGGCGCAGCAGGCGCGAAAGCUCUACAAUGCAGGCAACUGCGAUAGGGGAACAUCGAGUGAUACUCAUAUUGGGUGUCUGUCCCACCGUCUAAAAAACGGUGGUUAGCAAGGGCCGGGCAAGACCGGUGCCAGCCGCCGCGGUAAUACCGGCGGCUCGAGUGGUGGCCGAUAUUAUUGAGUCUAAAGGGUCCGUAGCCGGCUUUGCAAGUCUUUUGGGAAAUCCAGCGGCUUAACCGUUGGUCGUCCGGGAGAUACUACAUUGCUUGGGACUGGGAGAGGUAGGAGGUACUCAGGGGGUAGGAGUGAAAUCCUGUAAUCCUUUGGGGACCACCGGUGGCGAAGGCGUCCUACCAGAACAGGUCCGACGGUGAGGGACGAAAGCUAGGGGCACGAACCGGAUUAGAUACCCGGGUAGUCCUAGCCGUAAACGAUGCUCGCUAGGUGUCACAACAAUCGUGAAUUGUUGUGGUGCCGUAGGGAAGCCGUGAAGCGAGCCACUUGGGAAGUACGACCGCAAGGUUGAAACUUAAAGGAAUUGGCGGGGGAGCAC